rnacentral:rRNA from 1 species
AAGAAACUGACGGAAGAUUGUAUAAGCGGUGGAGUAUGUGGUUUAAUUUGAUAUAACGCAAAGAAUCUUACCAACCCUUGAAUAUAGGUUAUUUCGCUGUUUAAUUUUGGUUUUCUAAAAUUAAACAGGAAAGUAUGGAAUUGCAUUUUUAAAAAUGUUUUUUCAUUGAUCUAUACAGGUGCUGCAUGGUUGUCGGCAGUUCGUGUUGUGAAAUGUUUUGUUAAUUCAUUUAACGGACGCAACCUUCGGCUUUAUUUGUUUUAAAAAAUAGAGCAAUUACUAAUUUGAAAAUUACUUGAAAGGAGAG